rnacentral:rRNA from 1 species
UCGUCGAAUCCCCCCCCCUUGCGGAGGUAAAAGGAAACCAACCGGGAUUGCCUCAGUAACGGCGAGUGAAGCGGCAAGAGCUCAAAUUUGAAAGCUGGCUCCUUCGGGGUCCGCAUUGUAAUUUGCAGAGGAUGCUUCGGGUGCGGCCCCCGUCUAAGUGCCCUGGAACGGGCCGUCAGAGAGGGUGAGAAUCCCGUCUGGGAUGGGGUGUCCGCGCCCGUGUGAAGCUCCUUCGACGAGUCGAGUUGUUUGGGAAUGCAGCUCUAAAUGGGUGGUAAAUUUCAUCUAAAGCUAAAUACUGGCCGGAGACCGAUAGCGCACAAGUAGAGUGAUCGAAAGAUGAAAAGCACUUUGAAAAGAGAGUUAAAAAGCACGUGAAAUUGUUGAAAGGGAAGCGCUUGCGACCAGACUCGCCUCCAGGGUUCAGCCGGCAUUCGUGCCGGUGUACUUCCCUGGGGGCGGGCCAGGUCGGUUUGGGCGGCCGGUCAAAGGCUCCCGGAAUGUAGUGCCCUCCGGGGCACCUAUAGCCGGGAGUGCAAUGCGGCCAGCCUGGACCGAGGAACGCGCUUCGGCACGGACA